CAGCCCUAAACGAUGCGCGUUAGGUGUAUCGGUGACCACGAGUCACCGAGGUGCCGAAGGGAAACCGUGAAGCGAGCCACCUGGGAAGUACGGCCGCAAGGCUGAAACUUAAAGGAAUUGGCGGGGGAGCACCACAACGGGUGGAGCUUGCGGUUUAAUUGGAUUCAACGCCGGAAAUCUUACCGGGACCGACAGCAACAUGAAGGCCAGGCUGAAGACUUUGCCGGAUUAGCUGAGAGGGAGGUGCAUGGCGUAGUCGUGU
rnacentral:rRNA from 1 species